GUAAAGAGAGUAAGAGGGAGGAUGAAGAUAUGGAGUGAAUGAAGAGGAAGAGAGGUGCUUGUAUUUAUAGUUGAAAUCAUGCCGACAGACCGAGGAAAUUCCGACGGAAUUCUGACGCUAACGGCUAGUUCGUCGGAAUUUCCUCGGAAUUUUUAAAAUCCCCCAACGGCUCUCCAACGGCUCUCUAACGGCUGUAAUAUAUCCUCGGAAUUCAUCGGUUUUUUCCGAGGAAUACAUUUUUCUUCGGUAUUCCAUAAGAAUAUUCUGACGGAUUGAUAUUUCCUCGGAAUUCCGUCGGUAUAUUCCGAGGAAACCAAAUUUUGUGUUUCCUCGGAAUAUCCUCGGAAAUUCCUUGGGUUAUUCCGAGGAUUUCAUUUUUCGUCGGAAUGUCCGUCAGAAUCCCGCUGUUUUCUUGUAGUGGAUGAAACCUCUUUCAGAGUGGAUUCAAAGUUUGAUCAGCAACAGAAAUUGGGUUAGGAGGUAUUUAAGGCUGCUGGGUCUUCAGCUCAGGACCAGAUAUAUAUAUAAUUGACAGUAAACAAAAUUUAGUCUAACUAAAGUUUUGGUUUGAACUGUCCUUAAUGGUUUUCCAAGACACGAUGGGAAAGCGAAUAUUUUGUUUUUUUUGUGUGCAAGAGAAUGAAACUCAUAUGUUUAUAUAUCUAUUGUUGCAGGUCAUGUGAACUACUCAAUUUUCUAGAAGAACCUUUCUCCUAUCAACGUGAGUUUGUAUAUUGAGUGCUUAAUGGUUUGUUCGUUUGUAACAUAUUUCAGCAAGGUUGUGGAGUGCCACCGAAGGAAGUUCUGGAUGGCGCCAUUAACACUCACUUUGGCUCUUAGAAGGUUGGUGAGAAAGAUGACUGCUGAAGGUGCUUCUCUAUAAGGCUCAUGAUGAGUGGUUAGUAUAUAUUUGAAUUGAGCUAACUUAUCUUCUGCUUUUUGUGCACGAACUAAUUUAUUUUUGUUUUUUAUAUUUCACCUAUUAUAGAUUAGAAUUAAUUUGGGUCAAUUGGUUUUUAAGCCUAGAACAUAAUCUUUUUACACUUACAUAGUUCAAACGUUUGGCAACAUAAUUUACUUUUAACAUUAUACGGUUAUACAUAUAUGUUAUUAAAUAUAAAGUAACAUAUUUCAAAAUAUAUUUUUCUAAAAUUGAAAUUUUACCUGUAACCCCAAACUAUAACCGAAAACCCGAACCAGAAACUUAAAAAUAUCUGUAAUGUCGAAAACAUAUAUAAAAUACCCAAACAUACUUAAUAUACACAAAUCAUUAUGUGUUUCAAAAAAAAAUGUGUUUCAAAAAAAAAAUACACAAAUCAUUCCAGGUACUUUGCGUACCCGAUCGAGUAUGGGAUAGGACUCAAACUGGAACAUAGAUUCGCGGUCCAAAAAGAUAUUGAAUAGGUACUUUGUCCAUGACUGAGACCCGAACUGCAUCUGUAUUUUUGGAUUGGUUUCAAAUUUAGUUUUUCAGGUCCGACAAACUGUUGAAUCGUAUGAAAAAGUUAGAUAAAAACGUACAGAUAAUAUCUGAAAUAAUAAUGUAUAACAAUCUUAAAACAUUAAUUCAUAUAAAACUUUUUUAUAAUCCAAAAAAUUCGCGCUUUUAAGCGCGGAUCAAAAUCUAGUAUUUGAAUUAAAUAGUAUAAUGUUUUCUUUUUUGGUGCAGAGGGAGAGAAGUUUCUUUUAGAAAAGGAAGUUAUUUAUUUUUUCUCAAACUUUUAUGAGCAAUUGCUCAAAGUUGUUUCAGCUAAGAAACAUGCCGAAAGUUGGUUUGCUUCAUAAAUAAAUCGAGAAAGUUAUACUUUUUGGUCAGAAUCCCAGCUUGGCCAUCCAAAGGAAGCUAAGACAAUCCCACUUUCUAUUCUCUUCUUCGUCCCAAAGCAAUGUCAUUAAGAUUUUUAGUUUCUCACAGAAAUGUAGUAUAACGGUUACAUAUCCAGUUCCCAUUAGUACAAAUCUUAGUUAUAAUAUUAACCUAUCUUUAAUAUGUUCUGCAUCCUUCUAUAUAAAAGCCUAAUAUUUCCUCAAUAGCCAUUGGUGAUUUCUCCCAACACAUCUUUCUUAGAAAGAAAAGAAAAGUUAAGAAGAUAUUAUUUUGUUUUAUUUUAUCAAUGGCUCUUUUGUGUGUUAGCAAGAAGAAAAUUGUGGUGAAGCGGGCAUGGAAGAGGUCACACACAAGCUCAGAUCCAAAUCUAGUGAAAUCAAGAUUGCUGUAUCGGUCAGAGAUUCGACUUCUCGUCUCCUCCGUGUCAUCAGUCACCAUCUCAUCGUUCCUUUCAGGACAAGGUACCUUCAAAACACUAUCCCUCGAAUCCAUUUCAACAUAGGAUGUAGUCAUCAUCAUAGCCACUUCCUCGAAUUUUUCUCUCGUCCUUUUGGCAAAAGAAAGUGUCCUAGAAGGGAUAGUGAGAGCAUUUACAGACAAAUCUACCAAUACGAAAGCCAACGAUGGAGGCAGGGGGAGACCAAGAGUGAUGAGAAAGUUGUGGGGCGAAAAACAGGAAAAAAAAAGAAGAGGAGGGGCCGCAGGAGAUUGUUGAUUCGAUGGAAGAUGCUUGGAUGAGAGUGGUGGCUGCAUCACCGCACCUUAGGGUUGAUGAAAAAGCCGACCAGUUCAUCAAUAAGUUUAGAGAGGCGAUGAGACUGGAUAAGGAGAGAUCUUUACUUGAAUUCCAAGAAAGGUUGCUUCACGGAUGGAUUUGCAUAAAUUUUACGCUUUAGGAUUGAAAAAUAUAUUUGGAAAAAAAAUCCUUACUGGACUUUAGCUAAA